rnacentral:rRNA from 1 species
CAGUCGCCGCGGUAAUACGAAGGGUGCAAGCGUUACUCGGAAUUACUGGCGUAAAGCGUGCGUAGGUGGCUGUUUAAGUCUGUUGUGAAAGCCCUGGGCUCAACCUGGGAAUUGCAGUGGAUACUGGGCGACUAGAGUGUGGUAGAGGGUAGUGGAAUUCCCGGUGUAGCAGUGAAAUGCGUAGAGAUCGGGAGGAACAUCCAUGGCGAAGGCAGCUACCUGACCAACACUGACACUGAGGCACGAAAGCGUGGGGAGCAAACAGGAUUAGAUACCCCCGUAGUCCCUGUCUCUUAUACAC